rnacentral:rRNA from 1 species
GUGGGGAAUAUUGCACAAUGGGGGGAACCCUGAUGCAGCGACGCCGCGUGAGCGAUGAAGGCUUUCGAGUCGUAAAGCUCUGUCCUAUGGGAAGAUAAUGACGGUACCAUAGAAGAAAGCCCCGGCUAAUUACGUGCCAGCAGCCGCGGUAAUACGUAAGGGGCGAGCGUUGUCCGGAAUUAUUGGGCGUAAAGAGUGCGUAGGCGGCAAAUUAAGUCAGAUGUGAAAACUAAGGGCUCAACCCAUAGAUUGCAUCUGAAACUGAUAUGCUUGAGUCAAGGAGAGGAAAGUGGAAUUCCUAGUGUAGCGGUGGAAUGCGUAGAUAUUAGGAGGAAUACCGGUGGCGAAGGCGACUUUCUGGACUUGAACUGACGCUGAGGCACGAAAGCGUGGGGAGCAAACAGGA